CCCUCAAAGCCCUCAAUCAUUGUACAGCCUAUUCAAAACUAGUACUUUUACUUGAAGGUGUUUGAUGAAGUAAAAACUCCCAUCAGAACUAAUAUUGAUCAGUUACAUUGUGACCAAAAUCAAGUUUGUUGCCAUCAGUAAAAUCACAUUUGGUUAUUUAUAGGUCUUUGUUUUGUUCAAUCAUAUUAUGAUUUGGUGGGAGUAUUAGUGGCCAGUUGAGUAAAUUGAAUGAACCAUUCAUGUUCUGGGGUGAUCCACAAGCUGAUUACCUGUGUUGAUUGCCACACCUGUGUUGGUUUGCCAUACUUACCUGGGUGAUCACACAGAGAGGAAGUUAUGUGGAGUAGAGCAGAGAAGCAGAUUUGGGCCAGACGCUUGUGGGCUUCAUUGUCAUUGAAGAGUUUGCACCCUUGGGCCUUCGCCUGUUGCUGCAUCUUGGCCCAAAGCAUCCUCAUCACCCUCCAACUUCAGAGCUGGGUCUGAGUUGACCUGAAAUGAAAACAAAGCCUUUAAAGGGGGUGCCCAGACACCGGUGGCUGGUGGAGGGGAGAGCACCUUUCUACUCGCCGUCCAGGUGCGACCACACGCGCCCGCCCGCCUCCCUGCCUGAACCACCUCCACGUUGGGGGAAACUGAGGCCCACACUACCUAUAACCCCGGCCCGCACCACUGCUAAUGGCGGCCUGCGUGCAUCUACACAUUGAGCACCCCUGACUAACGUGCUUUAUUAAAUUAUGACGACGCGGCUCUUUUGUUACGUUCUGAGAGGAGGACUCCAUUACGUUGUCGCACCCGAAUACCUGGAAUGUUUGGGAGGAUAGCUGUCGACGGAGCUUCUUUACUACCACUGCUGCUUUUGGACAAGUACAGGUUUUAACAGUUUUAAAAAAACCCGUUCCAUUUAUAUUAGGAAGCCUACAGAAGUGUAAAAGCAAUGCACAUCUUGAUGACAGGACAUGAUGAUCUUAAUGAUGUGUUGUGUGACAAACAUACAAAUUAAACAAAUCCCGAAAUGAUGAAAUAGUGGAGAAUUAUUUAGUACAAUGGUUAAAAAAAAAAAAAAGUUAAAAAAAAAACACUUCAAAAACCAGAUCUAGAACCACAUAUAUCGGCACUGUUUAUCUUGUCUUGACAUGUUUUUGUUGUGAUUUUAAACUUACUAACUUCAAGAUUAGCCCAAAAAAAGGUUUGAAAUAUUUAUAUGAAAGAGAAAUAUUUUAAGAUAAAAACACCAGCAUGUGUUUUAUUUGAUGCAUACUGUUAAUGAGUGUUGUUAAAAGGUUGCUUUUCAUUUGAUGUCGAUCUAGCUAUUUUAAUGAAACUCCUAAAAUGGC